AUAAACCCCUCCUCGGGUGCCUGGCGGCCGGUGCCGGUCCCGCCCCUCCGCGCCGCCCCUACCGAGCCUCCCGUAGGCGGCCCGCGUCCUGCUCCAGCGCAUCCAGCAGCAGGAAGGUGUCCUCGGCCGGCUCGUACACGUCGCGGAAGGGCCCCCGCGGGCCCAGAUUGUGUUUCCACCGUGAGAACUGCCGCAGGGAGUCAGCGUGAACACCGAAUGAAAGAGGCUCUUCGGGUACUGGAAGACCUCAAUUAGGUCACCCUGAAACCUUCUCUUUUCUAGGCUGAACAAUCCCGAUUCUCUCAGCCUUUCUUCAUAGGAGAGGUGCUCACUCCAGUCAUCCUGGUGUCCUCUUCUGGACUUGCUCCCACAUGUCGAUGUCCUUCCUGUGCUGGGGACCCCAGAGAUGGAUGCAGUACUCUAACAAAAAUGAGGCUCUGCAAAACUAAGAAUUGAGGGGAAAUUUCAGGGCACAGGUCAGACUAAUAAUUUUCUCUACACAACAAACCCCAAACAAAUUGUGAUCAAAAGCAGAAGAGAGAGGUGGACAAAUUCUAAUUCCCAUUAAAUGUCUGUGUUCAAUUAUUAAUGCAGUGAACACUUAAAUUCUGACAGUAAGAUGAAUGUCUAGGUCAAUGAAGGAAACAGGUGAUGUUAACAAACAAGUUAGAAUCUUAAAAUGUUAUUUUGAUAGCAAUUUUGAGUAACAUGAGUUUUGGCAAAAGAAGGAAAAAAAUGCACCUAAACAACUAACCCAGUGGAUUAAUCUUUGUUGACUUAUGUAUAUAAAUGUACUUAAAAUACAAGUAUGCAUGUGGCCUGGUUCCGGACAGGACAGGGUUAAUAUUUGCAGUAGCCAGGAGGGAACAUGGCUGGGACCUGCAGGUUAUUCUAUACCACUUCACCUCGUUUUCUGGGAACAGGGAAAACGCCUGCUUCCGGGUCGGGGUAGUGUGGCACGGUCAGUUAUGGUUGAAGGUUUCCACAAUAACAUUUCUUGUACAUUCUGUUAUUAGUAUUGUUGCUGUUACUGUUUGUUUUCUUGUCUCAUUGCUGUUUCCAAUAAAUUGUUCAUAUCUCAA